rnacentral:rRNA from 1 species
GACGAACGCUGGCGGCGUGCUUAACACAUGCAAGUCGAACGGAAAGGCCCUGCUUUUGUGGGGUGCUCGAGUGGCGAACGGGUGAGUAACACGUGAGUAACCUGCCCUUGACUUUGGGAUAACUUCAGGAAACUGGGGCUAAUACCGGAUAGGAGCUCCUGCUGCAUGGUGGGGGUUGGAAAGUUUCGGCGGUUGGGGAUGGACUCGCGGCUUAUCAGCUUGUUGGUGGGGUAGUGGCUUACCAAGGCUUUGACGGGUAGCCGGCCUGAGAGGGUGACCGGCCACAUUGGGACUGAGAUACGGCCCAGACUCCUACGGGAGGCAGCAGUGGGGAAUAUUGCACAAUGGGCGGAAGCCUGAUGCAGCAACGCCGCGUGCGGGAUGACGGCCUUCGGGUUGUAAACCGCUUUCGCCUGUGACGAAGCGUGAGUGACGGUAAUGGGUAAAGAAGCACCGGCUAACUACGUGCCAGCAGCCGCGGUGAUACGUAGGGUGCGAGCGUUGUCCGGAUUUAUUGGGCGUAAAGGGCUCGUAGGUGGUUGAUCGCGUCGGAAGUGUAAUCUUGGGGCUUAACCCUGAGCGUGCUUUCGAUACGGGUUGACUUGAGGAAGGUAGGGGAGAAUGGAAUUCCUGGUGGAGCGGUGGAAUGCGCAGAUAUCAGGAGGAACACCAGUGGCGAAGGCGGUUCUCUGGGCCUUUCCUGACGCUGAGGGGCGAAAGCGUGGGGAGCGAACAGGCUUAGAUACCCUGGUAGUCCACGCUGUAAACGGUGGGUACUAGGUGUGGGGUCCAUUCCACGGGUUCCGUGCCGUAGCUAACGCUUUAAGUACCCCGCCUGGGGAGUACGGCCGCAAGGCUAAAACUCAAAGGAAUUGACGGGGCCCCGCACAAGCGGCGGAGCAUGCGGAUUAAUUCGAUGCAACGCGUAGAACUUUACCUGGGUUUGACAUGGAUCGGGAGUGCUCAGAGAUGGGUGUGCCUCUUUUGGGGUCGGUUCACAGGUGGUGCAUGGCUGUCGUCAGCUCGUGUCGUGAGAUGUUGGGUUAAGUCCCGCAACGAGCGCAACCCUUGUUCACUGUUGCCAGCACGUUAUGGUGGGGACUCAGUGGAGACCGCCGGGGUCAACUCGGAGGAAGGUGGGGAUGACGUCAAGUCAUCAUGCCCCUUAUGUCCAGGGCUUCACGCAUGCUACAAUGGCUGGUACAGAGAGUGGCGAGCCUGUGAGGGUGAGCGAAUCUCGGAAAGCCGGUCUCAGUUCGGAUUGGGGUCUGCAACUCGACCCCAUGAAGUCGGAGUCGCUAGUAAUCGCAGAUCAGCAACGCUGCGGUGAAUAUGUUCCCGGG